rnacentral:rRNA from 1 species
GCGAAUGGAUUGAGAGCUUGCUCUCAAGAAGUUAGCGGCGGACGGGUGAGUAACACGUGGGUAACCUGCCCAUAAGACUGGGAUAACUCCGGGAAACCGGGGCUAAUACCGGAUAACAUUUUGAACUGCAUGGUUCGAAAUUGAAAGGCGGCUUCGGCUGUCACUUAUGGAUGGACCCGCGUCGCAUUAGCUAGUUGGUGAGGUAACGGCUCACCAAGGCAACGAUGCGUAGCCGACCUGAGAGGGUGAUCGGCCACACUGGGACUGAGACACGGCCCAGACUCCUACGGGAGGCAGCAGUAGGGAAUCUUCCGCAAUGGACGAAAGUCUGACGGAGCAACGCCGCGUGAGUGAUGAAGGCUUUCGGGUCGUAAAACUCUGUUGUUAGGGAAGAACAAGUGCUAGUUGAAUAAGCUGGCACCUUGACGGUACCUAACCAGAAAGCCACGGCUAACUACGUGCCAGCAGCCGCGGUAAUACGUAGGUGGCAAGCGUUAUCCGGAAUUAUUGGGCGUAAAGCGCGCGCAGGUGGUUUCUUAAGUCUGAUGUGAAAGCCCACGGCUCAACCGUGGAGGGUCAUUGGAAACUGGGAGACUUGAGUGCAGAAGAGGAAAGUGGAAUUCCAUGUGUAGC